rnacentral:rRNA from 1 species
GACGAACGCUGGCGGCGUGCUUAACACAUGCAAGUCGAACGGAAAGGCCCUGCUUUUGUGGGGUGCUCGAGUGGCGAACGGGUGAGUAACACGUGAGUAACCUGCCCUUGACUUUGGGAUAACUUCAGGAAACUGGGGCUAAUACCGGAUAGGAGCUCCUGCUGCAUGGUGGGGGUUGGAAAGUUUCGGCGGUUGGGGAUGGACUCGCGGCUUAUCAGCUUGUUGGUGGGGUAGUGGAUAACCAGGCUUUUGAAGGGUAGCCGGCCUGAGAGGGUGACCGGCCACAUUGGGACUGAGAUACGGCCCAGACUCCUACGGGAGGCAGCAGUGGGGAAUAUUGCACAAUGGGCGGAAGCCUGAUGCAGCAACGCCGCGUGCGGGAUGACGGCCUUCGGGUUGUAAACCGCUUUCGCCUGUGACGAAGCGUGAGUGACGGUAAUGGGUAAAGAAGCACCGGCUAACUACGUG